UUGCCUGUAUUGUACCCUGAGUGGUAAAAAAUAAAUAAAAUAUCUGUUCUUAUCAGUUUAAUAUGUGAUAUGUCCCCUUUCUGGGGACCAUAUAUUAAAUGGAUUUUUUGAACAGGGAGAUGGAAAAAGAGCUUGCUCUGUCCACUCCACGCAUUGACCUGGUAUUGCAGUACCUCCAGGACCGGUGCACCCCUU